rnacentral:misc_RNA from 1 species
UCUCCGUAGGUGAACCUGCGGAGGGAUCAUUACUGAGUGAGGGCUCACGCCCGACCUCCAACCCUUUGUGAACCAAACUUGUUGCUUCGGGGGCGACCCUGCCGUUCGCGGCGUGGGGCCCCCGGAGGCUCAUCAAACACUGCAUCUUUGCGUCGGAGUCUUAAUGAAUUUAAACAAAACUUUUAACAACGGAUCUCUUGGUUCGGGUAUCGAUGAAGAACGCAGC